rnacentral:rRNA from 1 species
AACGAACGCUGGCGGCAUGCCUAACACAUGCAAGUCGAACGAGACCUUCGGGUCUAGUGGCGCACGGGUGCGUAACGCGUGGGAACCUGCCCUUAGGUUCGGAAUACCUCCCCGAAUGGGGUGCUAAUACCGGAUAAUGUCUUCGGACCAAAGAUUUAUCGCCUUGGGAUGGGCCCGCGUUGGAUUAGCUAGUUGGUAGGGUAAAAGCCUACCAAGGCGACGAUCCAUAGCUGGUCUGAGAGGAUGAUCAGCCACACUGGGACUGAGACACGGCCCAGACUCCUAGGGGAGGCAGCAGUGGGGAAUGUUGGACAAUGGGCGAAAGCCUGAUGCAGCAAGGCCGCGUGAGUGAUGAAGGCCUUAGGGUUGUAAAGCUCUUUUACCCGGGAUGAUAAUGACAGUACCGGGAGAAUAAGCUCGGGCUAACUCCGU